UACGGAGGGGGCUAGCGUUGUUCGGAAUUACUGGGCGUAAAGAGCUCGUAGGCGGCUUGUCGCGUCGACUGUGAAAUCCCGCGGCUCAACUGCGGGUCUGCAGUCGAUACGGGCAGGCUAGAGUUCGGUAGGGGAGACUGGAAUUCCUGGUGUAGCGGUGAAAUGCGCAGAUAUCAGGAGGAACACCGAUGGCGAAGGCAGGUCUCUGGGCCGAUACUGACGCUGAGGAGCGAAAGCGUGGGGAGCGAACAGG
rnacentral:rRNA from 1 species